CCUACGGGAGGCAGCAGUGGGGAAUUUUCCGCAAUGGGCGAAAGCCUGACGGAGCAAUGCCGCGUGGAGGUGGAAGGCCUACGGUUCGUCAACUUCUUUUCUUGGAGAAGAAACAAUGACGGUAUCUGAGGAAUAAGCAUUGGCUAACUCUGUGCCAGCAGCCGCAGUAAUACAUAGGAUGCAAGCGUUAUCUGGAAUGAUUGGGCGUAAAGCGUCUGUAGAUGGCUUUUCAAGUCCGCCGUCAAAUCCUAGGGCUCAACCCAGGAUAGGUGGUGGAAACUACCAAGCUGGAGUAUGGUAGGGGCAGAGGGAAUUUCUGGUGGAGUGGUGAAAUGCAUUGAGAUCGGAAAGAACACCAACAAUGAAAGCACUCUGCUGGGCCGACACUGACACUGAGAGAUGAAAGCUAGGGGAGCAAAUGGGAUUAGAUAC
rnacentral:rRNA from 1 species